UCCCCGAUGGUCCAGUGGUUAAGACUCCGAGCUUUCACCGCAGUGGCCCAGGUUCAAUCCCUGGUUGGGGAA
rfam:Ovis aries breed Texel chromosome 3, whole genome shotgun sequence.